GACGAACGCUGGCGGCGUGCUUAACACAUGCAAGUCGAACGGGCCCGCCCUCUUUUUUGGGGGUGGGUUGAGUGGCGAACGGGUGAGUAUCACGUGAGUAACCUGCCCCCUGCUCCUGGAUAACUGCUUGAAAGGGCGGCUAAUACGGGGUGUGCCGGCUGGUCCGCAUGGGCCUGGUCGGGAUAGUUUCAUCUUCGGGUGUUUCGGUGGGGGAUGGGCUCGCGGCCUAUCAGCUUGUUGGUGGGGUGAUGGCCCACCAAGGCGGUGACGGGUAGCCGGCCUGAGAGGGUGGGCGGCCACACUGGGACUGAGACACGGCCCAGACUCCUGCGGGAGGCAGCAGUGGGGGGUAUUGCACAAUGGGCGGAAGCCUGAUGCAGCGACGUCGCGUGAGGGAUGGAGGCCUUCGGGUUGUGAACCUCUUUCUCCGGUGGUGAAGGCCCUGUCCGUUGCGGCGGGGUUGACGGUAGCCGGGUAUGAAGCGCCAGCUAACUACGUGCCAGCAGCCGCGGUGAUACGUAGGGCGCGAGCGUUGUCCGGAAUUAUUGGGCGUGAAGGGCUUGUAGGCGGCCGGUCGCGUCCGCCGUGAAAUUCUCCGGCUCAACCGGGGGCUUGCGGUGGGUACGGGCCGGCUGGAGUGCGGUAGGGGAGGCUGGAACUCCUGGUGUAGCGGUGGAAUGCGCAGAUAUCAGGAGGAACACCGGUGGCGAAGGCGGGUCUCUGGGCCGUUACUGACGCUGAGGAGCGAAAGCGUGGGGAGCGAACAGG
rnacentral:rRNA from 1 species